rnacentral:sRNA from 1 species
AGUUGGUACGCACGUCGACUGACGUUGC